rnacentral:lncRNA from 1 species
CGAAUUUUGACUUUAUCCUGAAGAUCAUCAGGAGUCCUUGACAGGAGAUAGAGUAGAAAUUUAAAAGCAGCCUCUAAAUUUCAGAAACGGAACCCAUUGAUAAGAGUCCAUUUUAAAGAGGAAUCUUCAGGUUUGGGGCAUGAGGUCAUGCCUGUCACACAAUUUCUACCACUCUCCAGAGUAAUCAUGGGUGAUUUGGCACCUCCGGCUAACAGGUGUGUCAUAUCAGAGACUGCCACAGACACCCGGGGCAAUGAGAUUCGUCACUUAAAGAAGGAGGCUGCGGGAGAGCGCCCCAUCCACCGCUGCUGAGUCAUCCCACUCUGUUAGCUAUUUAAACAAGCCUCCAGCAGACACACAAUCAACACUGCACUCCGACAAUGUCCAGACCUCCAGAAAUCAUGGGUCCAGCUUGGAUUGCCCAAGACAACAAACAGUGGUGGAGCACCUGUUGUGGGUUCGGCACUGAGCUACAGGUAAGAGUUGGUUAAAGGAUAAACAAGACACAUUCCUUGCCUUUGGCGGCUCACAGUCCAGUGGAAGAGACAGUCACGUAACCAGGCAACCACGAUAUACGAAGUGAUGGUUCUAAGACAGGUGCUGCUGAUGAAAGUGCUACAGGAGUUGGUCUGACGUCUUUGGGAAGGACAAGACAGCAUGCCCACGGAGUUACCAUGUCCCAGUGCUGUUCUUUCCUCCUGAUGGAAAGCCUGAAACAAUUUACAGCAUUGCCAGCAGCAUUCAGUACAUUCAGAACAGGAUCAUUUCACCCACAGCUGAACGAGGGCCACGCUUGGGACAGCACCGAGAACAGCUUUCCAGCAGACAUGCCGGGGAGUAAGCCAGGGGUAUGUAUUCCGGAUGACCACUCUCAAGAUCUGAAUGUACACUGGUUCUGUUUUUCCUGAGGGCAACGUGGGCAGUCUGUAGGGUGGCAUUAACCAGAUGAGGCUUCAAGAGCACCCUUUCAUCAGGGACGCAACAGUAGAGUUGUAUUCAUUCAUUCGACAUAUUUUUGGAGCAUGUGCUUAUUGCCAUGUACUGUGCUGGGUAGGUGCGGAGCAUCCAGUGACAAGACUAUACGGCUCCUUACUCCACGGGGCUGCUGUUCUCCACUGUACGGAAAUUCCGCUCUCCCCUCUCAAGGCACAGGUUGUGCUUUGUACACCAUUAAAAGGAACAUCAACUAAAGGAAAACUGUUGUUUCCUCUCUACCCACAGAACACUUCUGACACCAGAUGUGUGGGGGUUUCUACACCAAGCAAUUCUCCAGUUCUCAGUGAACACUGACUGCGUAUUCUACAGUUUCACUCCAUUCCAAACCCAACUGCCCAGGGUUAGCACAGACCCCUCAGGUUAAGGGCUCAGUCUCACAGGAUUUCCCCAGACUUCAGAUGCUAAUUAUAAGACCCCAAUUGUCACCUAUAAUUCUGACCAACUGGCUAUAAAUUGAGCUUUCCCAUGACCCCCUCCUCAGGUUUGAUAAUUUGCUAGAAAGGCACACAGCACUCAGAAAAACACUUUACUUACAUUUACUGGUUUAUUGUAAAGGAUACAACUCAAGAACAGCCAGAUGGAAGUGACACAUAGGGCAAGGUUUGGGGGUGGGGGCAGGGAUUGGAGCCUCCCUCCCAGCACCUCAGUACGUUCGCUGCUCUGGAAGCUCUCCAGGCUCCAUAGUUCAGGGGUUUUAUGGAGACUCCGCUAUGCAGGCAUGAUUGACUAAACCACUGACCUAUAGUGAUUAAGC